GAUGAACGCUAGCGGCAGGCUUAACACAUGCAAGUCGAGGGGCAGCAUUCCAGCAAUGGAGAUGGCGACCGGCAAACGGGUGCGGAACACGUACGCAACAUACCCUUCACUGGGGGAUAGCCUUCUGAAAAGGAGAUUAACACCCCAUAAUAUCAUUUAGUGGCAUCACUAUGAUGAUUAAAAUUUAUUGGUGAGGGAUUGGCGUGCGUCCUAUAGCUAGUUGGUAGUGGUAAUGGCCUACCAAGGCGACGAUAGGUAGCUGGUGUGAGAGCACGACCAGCCACACGGGCACUGAGACACGGGCCCGACUCCUACGGGAGGCAGCAGUGAGGAAUAUUGGUCAAUGGACGAGAGUCUGAACCAGCCAUGCCGCGUGAAGGAUGAAGGCGUUCUGCGUCGUUAAACUUCUUUUACCAGGGAAGAACCUGUAAUUUUCUAAUUCAGCCGACGGUACCUGAGGAAUAAGCACCGGCUAACUCCGUGCCA
rnacentral:rRNA from 1 species